CUUCCUAUGCUACUGCACCCGAAGUCAUUUGGUUACUUAAAGCUUAUAUCGAAAAAUCCUUCUAAAUGGCCGAAAUUCUAUCCUAAAUAUUUUACAGAUAGAAACAACGAAGAUAUUAAAACUUUUAUCGCCAGAAUAAGAGAGAUUCUCAGAGUUAUGGAGAUGCCGGUGUUUAAAAAAUACAACACGACAUUAUAUGACAAACCGAUUCCAGGUUGUGGUAAACACAAAUUCACACAUAUUCAGAUGCAUACUGGGAAUGCGCCCUUCGGACCAUCGCCCCAACCCUGCAUAAUCAGAUUUCGACUUGCAAAAUGGGGCCCAGAGAAGACCGAGAGUCUGUAGUGGAUCAUCGAUUAAAAGUGCAUGGAAUUAAAAAUUUAAGAGUAGUAGAUACGAGCAUCAUACCAGUGACUUUAAGUGCCCAUACCAGUAUUCCUACAAUAAUGAUAGGCGAAAAAGCUGCAGACAUGAUCAAAGAAGAUUGGAGUUUGUUUGAAUCAUCAAGCAACAAACAAUGAGUGUAUCGUACACAUUUUCCGCAUCCCACAAAAGCUUUAUUUUAAUAACAGUCAGAGACGCAGAAGAGAAUAAAUUCUUAACAAUACAUCAUCGAAUUUGAAAAUAUUAGUGUGAAAAUAUUAUUGACUUGUAUGUUUUUUGUUUUCUGUCAUUACAUAUACGUAAGAGUUCAAUAUGUUUAACUGAAACAUGAAAUUUGCGAAAGACGCAAGACUUUCUGCCGAUAUGACUUUAUUUCGCAAUUACAGUUAGAUACUAUUGAUUGCUAGUUAAUGGAAAAUAUCAAGUAAAUUCAAUUUUAAUUACAUUAAAACAUACAGGACAUCUGGCCUUUACAAGUAGAUGCAAUACCAGCAUUCUUGCCUUGCUGAACAUAAAUGAAAUGUAUAUAGUUUUUCAAAUUGAACAAAUACACUAUUAAACAAUAGUUAAAUACAAGUUAUAAGGAAUUUAUAAUAAAUUUGAUUAAAUAGUAA